rnacentral:rRNA from 1 species
GAUGAACGCUGGCGGCGUGCCUAAUACAUGCAAGUCGAGCGAACAGACGAGGAGCUUGCUCCUCUGACGUUAGCGGCGGACGGGUGAGUAACACGUGGAUAACCUACCUAUAAGACUGGGAUAACUUCGGGAAACCGGAGCUAAUACCGGAUAAUAUAUUGAACCGCAUGGUUCAAUAGUGAAAGACGGUUUUGCUGUCACUUAUAGAUGGAUCCGCGCCGCAUUAGCUAGUUGGUAAGGUAACGGCUUACCAAGGCAACGAUGCGUAGCCGACCUGAGAGGGUGAUCGGCCACACUGGAACUGAGACACGGUCCAGACUCCUACGGGAGGCAGCAGUAGGGAAUCUUCCGCAAUGGGCGAAAGCCUGACGGAGCAACGCCGCAUGAGUGAUGAAGGUCUUCGGAUCGUAAAACUCUGUUAUUAGGGAAGAACAAAUGUGUAAGUAACUAUGCACGUCUUGACGGUACCUAAUCAGAAAGCCACGGCUAACUACGU